GACGAACGCUGGCGGCGUGCCUAAUACAUGCAAGUCGAGCGAUCAGAUGAGGAGCUUGCUCCUCUUACGUUAGCGGCGGACGGGUGAGUAACACGUGGAUAACCUACCUAUAAGACUGGGAUAACUUCGGGAAACCGGAGCUAAUACCGCAUAAUAUAUUGAACCACAUGGUUUAAUAGUGAAAGACGCUUUUGCUGCACCUUAUAGAUGGCUCCCCGUGUCAUUGCCUAGUUGGUAAGGUAACGGCCUACCAAGGCAAGAAUGCGUAGCCGACCUGAAAGGGUAAUGGGCCACAUGGGACCGGGACCACGGCCAAAACUCCUAGGGAAGGAGCAGGAGGGGAAUCUUCGGCAAGGGGGGAAAGCCGGACGGGGCAACGCGGCGGGGGGGAGAAGGGUCUUGGGAUCGUAAAACUCGGUUAUUGGGGAGGAAGAAAUGUGUAAGGAAAUGUGCACGUCUUGACGGUACCUAAUCAGAAAGCCACGGCUAACUACGUG
rnacentral:rRNA from 1 species